UACAUAUAGCUCAGUGGUAGAGUACUUGCCUACCAUGCAAAACGCUCUGAGUUUAAUCCCCAGUACUGUAA
rnacentral:tRNA from 1 species